CUACGGGUGGCAGCAGUUAGGAAUAAUCUACAAUGCGCGCAAGCGUGAUAGUUUGAGCCAGAGUGCUUUUCAUUAGAAAAGCUUUUGCCAAAUGUAAAAAGUUUGGCGAAUAAGGACUGGGUAAGACUAGUGCCAGCCGCCGCGGUAAUACUAGCGGUCCAAGUCGCAGCCAUUUUUAUUGGGUCUAAAACAUCCGUAGCUUGCCAAAUAAGUUUCUUGUGAAAUUUUAUGUCUCAAACAUGAAGCGUGCAAAAAGUACUGUUUGGCUAGAGACUGGUAGGCGUGAGAAGUAUGUUCAGAGUAGCGGUAAAAUGUGUUAAUCCUGGACAGACUAACGAUAGCGAAGGCAUCUCACGAGAACAGUUCUGACAGUAAGGGAUGAAGGCCAGGGGCGCAAAACGGAUUAGAUACCCGUGUAGUC
rnacentral:rRNA from 1 species